rnacentral:rRNA from 1 species
UACGUAGGGUGCAAGCGUUAAUCGGAAUUACUGGGCGUAAAGCGUGCGUAGGUGGUUUGUUAAGUCUGAUGUGAAAGCCCUGGGCUCAACCUGGGAAUUGCAUUGGAUACUGGCAAGCUAGAGUGCGGUAGAGGAUGGCGGAAUUCCCGGUGUAGCAGUGAAAUGCGUAGAGAUCGGGAGGAACAUCUGUGGCGAAGGCGGCCAUCUGGACCAGCACUGACACUGAGGCACGAAAGCGUGGGGAGCAAACAGG